GGAUAGAGCUUAGUGGCAAAGUGCCUGCCUGGCAAGCACGAGGUUAUGAGUUCGAUUCCCAGUUCCA
rnacentral:tRNA from 1 species